GCGGAUGUGGUGGAAUUGGUAGACACGCCAGACUUAGGAUCUGGUGCCGUACGGUGUAAGAGUUCGAGUCUCUUCAUCCGCA
rnacentral:tRNA from 1 species